GGGGAAUAUUGCACAAUGGGGGAAACCCUGAUGCAGCGACGCCGCGUGAGGGAAGAAGGUUUUCGGAUUGUAAACCUCUGUCCUCUGUGACGAUAAUGACGGUAGCAGAGGAGGAAGCCACGGCUAACUACGUGCCAGCAGCCGCGGUAAUACGUAGGUGGCAAGCGUUGUCCGGAAUUACUGGGUGUAAAGGGAGCGUAGGCGGGUGUGCAAGUUGAAUGUCAAAUCUAUGGGCUCAACCCAUAGUCGCGUUCAAAACUGCAUAUCUUGAGUGAAGUAGAGGUAGGCGGAAUUCCUAGUGUAGCGGUGAAAUGCGUAAAUAUUAGGAGGAACACCAGUGGCGAAGGCGGCCUACUGGGCUUUAACUGACGCUGAGGCUCGAAAGCGUGGGUAGCAAACA
rnacentral:rRNA from 1 species